UCGGAAUCACUGGGCGUAAAGCGUGCGUAGGCUGUUUCGUAAGUCGUGUGUGAAAGGCGCGGGCUCAACCCGCGGACGGCACAUGAUACUGCGAGACUAGAGUAAUGGAGGGGGAACCGGAAUUCUCGGUGUAGCAGUGAAAUGCGUAGAUAUCGAGAGGAACACUCGUGGCGAAGGCGGGUUCCUGGACAUUAACUGACGCUGAGGCACGAAGGCCAGGGGAGCGAAAGGGAUUAGAUACCCCUGUAGUCCUGGCAGUAAACGGUGCACGCUUGGUGUGCGGGGAAUCGACCCCCUGCGUGCCGGAGCUAACGCGUUAAGCGUGCCGCCUGGGGAGUACGGUCGCAAGAUUAAAACUCAAAGAAAUUGACGGGGACCCGCACAAGCGGUGGAGUAUGUGGCUUAAUUCGAUGCAACGCGAAGAACCUUACCUGGGCUUGACAUGUAAUGAACAACAUGUGAAAGCAUGCGACUCUUCGGAGGCGUUACACAGGUGCUGCAUGGCCGUCGUCAGCUCGUGUCGUGAGAUGUUUGGUUAAGUCCAGCAACGAGCGCAACCCCUGUUGCCAGUUACCAGCACGUGAAGGUGGGGACUCUGGCGAGACUGCCCAGAUCAACUGGGAGGAAGGUGGGGACGACGUCAGGUCAGUAUGGCCCUUAUGCCCAGGGCUGCACACGUACUACAAUGCCCAGUACAGAGGGGGCCGAAGCCGCGAGGCGGAGGAAAUCCUAAAAACUGGGCCCAGUUCGGACUGUAGGCUGCAACCCGCCUACACGAAGCCGGAAUCGCUAGUAAUGGCGCAUCAGCUACGGCGCCGUGAAUACGUUCCCGGGUCUUGUACACACCGCCCGUCACAUCAUGGAAGCCGGUCGCACCCGAAGUAUCUGAAGCCAACCGCAAGGAGGCAGGGUCCUAAGGUGAGACUGGUAACUGGGAUGAAGUCGUAACAAGGUAGCCGUAGGGGAACCUGCGGCUG
rnacentral:rRNA from 1 species